CCUACGGGAGGCAGCAGUGGGGAAUUUUCCGCAAUGGGCGAAAGCCUGACGGAGCAAUACCGCGUGAGGGAAGAAAGCCUACUGGGUUGUAAACCUCUUUUUUCAGGGAGGAAAAAAUGACGUGUACCUGAAGAAUAAGCAUCGGCUAACUCCGUGCCAGCAGCCGCGGUAAGACGGAGGAUGCAAGUGUUAUCCGGAAUUACUGGGCGUAAAGCGUCUGUAGGUGGUUUAAUAAGUCAACUGUUAAAUCUUGAGGCUUAACUUCAAAACAGCAGUCGAAACUAUUAGACUAGAGUAUAGUAGGGGUAAAGGGAAUUUCCAGUGGAGCGGUGAAAUGCGUAGAUAUUGGAAAGAACACCGAUGGCGAAAGCACUUUACUGGGCUAUUACUAACACUCAGAGACGAAAGCUAGGGUAGCAAAUGGGAUUAGAUACCCCAGUAGUCCUAGCUGUAAACAAUGGAUACUAGAUGUUGAACAGAUCGACCUGUGCAGUAUUAAAGCUAACGCGUUAAGUAUCCCGCCUGGGAAGUAUGCUCGCAGAGUAGAACUACAAGAAGUAGUAGACGUGAGAGAGCGACGACGACGACGACGGAGGAGAG
rnacentral:rRNA from 1 species